CACGUAGGGCGCAAGCGUUGUCCGGAAUUAUUGGGCGUAAAGAGCUCGUAGGCGGCCUGUCGCGUCGGAUGUGAAAGCCCGGGGCUCAACCCCGGGUCUGCAUUCGAUACGGGCAGGCUGGAGUGUGGUAGGGGAGAUCGGAAUUCCUGGUGUAGCGGUGAAAUGCGCAGAUAUCAGGAGGAACACCGGUGGCGAAGGCGGAUCUCUGGGCCAUUACUGACGCUGAGGAGCGAAAGCGUGGGGAGCGAACAGG
rnacentral:rRNA from 1 species